rnacentral:rRNA from 1 species
UGCAAGUCGAACGGCAGCGCGGGAGCAAUCCUGGCGGCGAGUGGCGAACGGGUGAGUAAUACAUCGGAACGUGCCCAAUCGUGGGGGAUAACGCAGCGAAAGCUGUGCUAAUACCGCAUACGAUCUACGGAUGAAAGCAGGGGAUCGCAAGACCUUGCGCGAAUGGAGCGGCCGAUGGCAGAUUAGGUAGUUGGUGAGGUAAAGGCUCACCAAGCCUUCGAUCUGUAGCUGGUCUGAGAGGACGACCAGCCACACUGGGACUGAGACACGGCCCAGACUCCUACGGGAGGCAGCAGUGGGGAAUUUUGGACAAUGGGCGAAAGCCUGAUCCAGCCAUGCCGCGUGCAGGAUGAAGGCCUUCGGGUUGUAAACUGCUUUUGUACGGAACGAAACGGCCUUUUCUAAUAAAGAGGGCUAAUGACGGUACCGUAAGAAUAAGCACCGGCUAACUACGUGCCAGCAGCCGCGGUAAUACGUAGGGUGCAAGCGUUAAUCGGAAUUACUGGGCGUAAAGCGUGCGCAGGCGGUUAUGUAAGACAGUUGUGAAAUCCCCGGGCUCAACCUGGGAACUGCAUCUGUGACUGCAUAGCUAGAGUACGGUAGAGGGGGAUGGAAUUCCGCGUGUAGCAGUGAAAUGCGUAGAUAUGCGGAGGAACACCGAUGGCGAAGCA